rnacentral:rRNA from 1 species
GAUCAUGGCUCAGGAUGAACGCUAGCUACAGGCUUAACACAUGCAAGUCGAGGGGAAACGAUAUUGGAAGCUUGCUUCCGAUAGGCGUCGACCGGCGCACGGGUGGGUAACGCGUAUCCAACCUGCCCAUCACUUGGGAAUAACCUUGCGAAAGUAAGACUAAUGCCCAAUGACAUUUAUAGAAGGCAUCCGAAAUGAAUUAAAGAUUUAUCGGUGAUGGAUGGGGAUGCGUCUGAUUAG